GUGUGCUCAAUCAAAAAACAAGAUGCACACACACAUCGAUUGUGUGUGCUUGUACAUGAAUCUAUUCAGAGAAACAAGACGAGAAAGGGAAACAGUUGGAAGAAAGGGGAAGGAAGCGAUGGUGUGUUGUUUCUGUUCUUUUCGAAUGGAACAUCGAAGAUGGUGACCAUGUCGACCAGACCAGUGGCCGACAUAAUCAAUGGAGGUGGGUGAUGGGGCUACAAUGGUCGAUUAAGCAUAAAACAACCCUAAUGAUUUCUAUUUCAGCAACUUCUUCAUAUUAAGUCAAAGUUAUGAACGAAAAGUCGUAUGAUUUAGGUAUCCUUCUUCAACAUCAACUCUCAUUGAAGUAAGAGAACAAGUGAAAGCUACGAAAAACGGAUUGGAAGGUAACAUAAUUAAGAAGAAGGUUUUUUCUUGGAAAAAAGGCAUCACUUUCACAACUUUUUGUAGGGAAUAAAAAAGGGAGUUUGAAGUUAGAUGCAAAUGUUUUAACAAAACACAUGUGGAAAUAGUGUACGACCAAGAUAUUCUGUUAAUGGACGGGGGAACACUGUUCUCCUUUUAGUUUAUGGUAUUUAAAAUUUAAUGGAUUAAGUAUAUACAAUAUUAGAUAUAAAUAUAAUUAUCGUUGCUUACAA